rnacentral:lncRNA from 1 species
UUUAGUUUAGUUUUUAUUUAACAAAAUCAAAAAUAAAAUAAACAAAUAUGUAAAAAAAAAUUCAAAAAAUUACCUUGGCAAAAAUAAUAUCUAAUAUCUCCUUUAAUACAUAUGCUCUGUUAUUGCAAUAAUUUUUACAUGUAAACAGAAUUGUAAAUUUAGAAAUGUGUAAACACUUUUUUUUUUGUUAUCUGUUUUAAAUGCUCAAAUAAUUACCUCGUAAACAAACAACAAUAUCACAUGCAAUACUUUCACAAAUAUAAAUAGAAACAAAAAAAAUUAAGCAUACAUACAGAAACAGGUCAAUUUUAUAGUUCAAAAUAUUCUUGGUAUUGAAAACAGUUGUGUGAACCUGGUAUAAAGGACAAUUUCAAACAAUUAACUACUGUAAACCAACUUCUUUUUUUGCGAGCAAUUUAUUUUCGUGACUUUCGCAAGUAGAAAAAUAGCGUGAAGAUAAAUCGUCGCGAAUAUGUAAAACUUUGAUCUUUCCCUAUUAGACUACAUGAAAGUAAAUUGGAAAAUGGUGAAAUUAAAAUAGCCGCGAAAUGGUAUAGGAAGAGUAAAACGCAAAAUAAAGUAUCCACUAAAUAAGUUGGUUUAAAAUAACAGUAUGUCAAAUCAAAGUAAUGGAUAAUGUUUUGUAAGUGUUUUUCUUAUAUUAUCGUCUAUUUCAGUUCUAUAAAAAAAUAUGCUAUUUUAUCAACAUGAACAAAACAAAUUGUUGGGCUUUCUAUAUCAAUGAGACAGUUCAAUAUCACAAAUGUUUUUACAAAAAUUGAAUCUCAAAAUGAUUAUAUGAUACAAUUUAGUAAAACAAAACAUUACUAUUUAAAGCUGAAUUAUGCUUCAUGAGGAAUGUAAAAUUUAUAUGUAAUAUUUUACCAUUGUAUAACUGUAUAGAUCCAUUUCAUCAUAACUAUACCUUAGUAUAACAAAAUAUAAGUAUAAACUGUAUCCCUGCUCUGAAGAAGAGCAAGCAAAUAUUUUUCAAAAGUUAGGUAAUUAUAAGCCUUAUUGAAAUCCUGAAUUAACAAGUUUAACUUAUUUAUAAUUUAAAACUUUAUUUUAUACUUAUAUCAAGCUGCUCAUUUUUUCUCAAAAUCAUUACAUUUUUUCCUAACUCAGCAAAAUUACAUGAAUGAUAAUUUGGAUAAUACAUUUCUAUGUUGUGUAAAUAAUGCACCAAUUAUGAAUAAUGUAAUACAAAAUGCACCAAUCAUAAUAAAUAAAGAUAUAAAUAACGCAC